AAAACACUGAGAGAGAAAGAACAACUUGUCAGGUGGUGCAUUGGAGACUGAUGUGUUCCUGUCCUGUCUUUUCAUAAUACUAUUGCAGAUCGACAUAAAAGCCUAAAAGACAGCCGUGGUGUUGCUCUUCAUUUCUUGGUUCUCCUGUGGUGCAUAAGAAACCCGCUACACUAGCUAUGGAAAUGGUCAUGGAGAUGGUAUUUCACAGCACUUCCGGCAUGGUGCACUGCGACAAUGCCGUUGAGCAAAUCGACCAAAAUCACGCAGCAACAACUGCUGUGGCAGAGGGAAAACAGUGCACUCAUCUGUAAGUAGGCCUAGUAUGCAUGUCUUCUUCACAGCCUUGUCUCAGGGUCUCUGUUGAUGUUUCUUUCAUGGUCUACGACUUGUUGAGUGUACCAAUUGUGUGUCUAAUUACCUCAGCGUAUGCUGUUGGAUCUUUGUAAGUCUCAGAGUACUUUUUCUAACACUUACAAAGAGUUAGGCCAAUGUAUUAAUGGUCUAAUCUAGUCUUAUCUUAAGCCUGUCUUUCUAGUGUCAUCUUAAGCCUGUCUGCCUGUCUCUCAUUGAGUCUCAUUGUCUGUCUGUCUGUCUGUCUGUCUGUCUGUCUGUCUGUCUGUCUGUCUGUUAUUGAGUGUGGUGACUGUUAUUGUCUGUUAUUGAGUGUGGUGACUGUUAUUGUCUGUUAUUGAGUGUGGUGACUGUUAUUGUCAGUGGUGUAGUGGUGCUUGGAGAAGUCGGUAUACUCUAAUUUUGCCAAACAUUUUCCUAUAGUAGUUUCAUGUUUUCACUCUCAAAAUUACAAUUUUUAAUCGAAAAACUUCAAAAAUGUGAAGUUUGAAGUCCAUAACCGGCUACUGAUGUCUUUCAAUUCUGUGAGCUGCUCCAUGCGACAACAACCAGUUGAGAGCUGUGUGCUCUUCCUGCCUGAUAUUCCGCUAAAACUAGCAAUGUGUGCAGCAUGAAUGUGAAUAGCCUAUAUUCACAUACUUUGCGAUUGUUUAGGCUACUUUGUGCAUGAUUUCGCUAUUGUACUACAUAAUUGAAAUGGCAUAUACCUUCACUAUACUACUUUGAUACGCAUCAGUAGGGAUUAAGAAGUAAUAUGCAAUUCCCACUGGAAAAAAGUGGGUAUACGGCGUAUAGCCCCCACUACACCAAUGUUCAUUGUAAAUCUGUCUCUCUGUCUCUCUGUCUCUCUCUGUCUCUCUCUGUCUCUCUCUGUCUUUCAUCGUGUCCCAGCGUGGGCUGCAGAGAAUGUUGUGACUGACGUGCCCUGGUUAGUGUGUGUAUACAUGUGUGUGUAUACGCAUGUGUACGUGUGAGUGUAUUUGUGUGUGUCUGGCCACCUUUCCCGCUCCUGAUCCCCUUAAUCCUCUCAGUCUGCAUGGCUCAAACAGCCUUGCAUUCCCGCGGCAACACCAUUUCCCUGAGUUUCCCAUCCAGAUUGAACCCAAACCACCCUGGCCCCCACCUCCCCUCGCCCCCUCCCUCCACCCCUCCAUCCCAUCACAUCACACACUGUGCAGAGGUGUCAGCGGGUUCACUGCAAUGCAGGCGGGCAAUCCCAUCCCAGGAAAUCUUCAUAAAAAGUUUUGAAGAGCCUUAGAGGGAGUGGUCUACCCUGAACCCAGGCCCCUCGGGGCAGUGAUCCCCCCCAUUUGUGCUGCUGUUAUAAAGAAUGCACCUCUAAACCACUUUCCCACCACUAAGAGGAUUACCAAGGUAAUGCUUCAUAUCAAAAAGAUGCUACGGCCGAUCUAGCCGCUGGGAGGCUGAAUUUAAUUAUUCAUGUAGAAGACUGAUGUCAGACUGGACACUGCCCUGUACUGUGAUGAAAACCUUAUGUAUGUCCACGUGAGGGUCAAGACCUUGUUGCAAACCAUGUCAGUCCACAAACGUAACUGAUACUGUAGUAACCACUGUAAAAGCACUUUAACUUGCACAUGUAUACCUUCUCAAAUCUCCGUAGUUUAGGUCACAUGCUGGGAGAGAUAAGAUGGGUGGAAGCAAAUGACAGCUAUUAGCAUAGAAAUUGGACAGGAUGGAAAUGAAUAUUGAGUAUAGGAUGCUUAGUCCUGGAGUCAAUAGUCAUAAAGUCUAAAUGUGUUCUAUAAUGUCCAUGACCUAAUGUACAGACCUUAACAUUAUCAAUAUACUACACAUUGUUUUUAAAACUCUUUACUGUGUUGCUGUUAGGUAUCGAAAACCAGUUGGUCCAUUCCAUAAAAUAAAACUUUUACACUGCGUCAAAUGAUUCUGCCUUCAUUUUAGCCGUCAUCCCACAUGACAGAAAGUACAGUAGUGUUGGUGUCGUGGGUCCCCUCAUGCUUUGGUUUUCCACUCUUUGUGACGGUGUUGAUGUAGGCAAUGUUUACGCACUGUCUCCUGGCCGGCACAGACAUCAUGUCCGAUCAGGAUCAACUGGUACGUGUGUGUGUGUGUGUGUGUGUGUGUGUGUGUGUGUGUGUGUGUGUGUGUGUGUGUGUGUGUGUGUGUGUGUGUGUGUGUGUGUGUGUGUGUGUGUGUGUGAUACCAAAACAAAACUCACUUCCUCUUUGGCGACAUGUUUGCCUUUCAGUCUGAUGGCUACUAGCCCUUUGUGUGUCCAAUGUGGAAUGGCACUCACUAACCUAUUUUCUCCCCUCUAAACAUGACAAACUUGACAAACUGUGUUCAAGGUAGUACAUCCUAAAUGCCCAACAUCACCUCAUCCCUGAAAUGUACAUGUUUUGGAAAGCAUUGCUUCAGUCACCUGAAAAUUAAAUCAACGCUAUGUCUGUUGUAGAAAAGGAAUACAAUCCCAUAAAAAUUUAUUUUUUAUAUAUGAACAUUUUCAAUUUCGAUUUGAAUGGAUAACUUAUGUUACAUAGAUUCAUUAGUAGAUAUGAACUCAGCGUUCACUUUUGAGUCAUUUUGUCUCAUCUUUCAGUUAGGAUGUUUUACAGAUGUUUUACAGAUGUUUUGCACUAACUGUUCAGUAAAGAUCUGUUAAAAUCUGUU